rnacentral:rRNA from 1 species
GACGAACGCUGGCGGCGUGCUUAACACAUGCAAGUCGAACGAUGAAGCGGUGCUUGCACCGUGGAUUAGUGGCGAACGGGUGAGUAAUACGUGAGUGACCUACCUUUGACUCUGGGAUAAGCCUGGGAAACUGGGUCUAAUACCGGAUACGACCAAUCUCUGCAUGGGGUGUUGGUGGAAAGCGUUAUGGAGUGGUUUUAGAUGGGCUCACGGCCUAUCAGCUUGUUGGUGAGGUAAUGGCUUACCAAGGCGACGACGGGUAGCCGGCCUGAGAGGGUGACCGGCCACACUGGGACUGAGACACGGCCCAGACUCCUACGGUAGGCAGCAGUGGGGAAUAUUGCACAAUGGGCGCAAGCCUGAUGCAGCGACGCCGCGUGAGGGAUGACGGCCUUCGGGUUGUAAACCUCUGUUAGCAUCGAAGAAGCGAAAGUGACGGUAGGUGCAGAGAAAGCGCCGGCUAACUACGUG